rnacentral:misc_RNA from 1 species
GUAACUUGAUUGCAGCGGGUGUGGAAGUAGAGCUGUGGGGACACUGCUUGUUCACAGAGGCUGCUCUCCCCAGUCAAGAAAAGGGAGAUGACAAAUUUAAAAUGAAGUGGAGCCGUGGAGGCAAGAAACCCGUCAAACCCAGUUCUUGUAUCAAGUCCAUCAUCGAUUUCUUCUUCUUCUUGGGGCUUUUGUCUUUGCCAAAUUGAGGAAAGAGAGACGAUGAGGAAAGGAGAGAUAUUUUGGGAGGUAGAGGCCGGAGGAGAAACUACAGGCAUAAGGAGAUUUUUUUUUUUUCUCUUUUUAAAAAAGGAGGUGAGAGAGAAUGUGAAAGAGCAUAGAAGAGAAAAAUUUUUGACGAAACAGGAAUCUGGAAAGGGCAUAGGGGGAGUGGUGGUGCAGAAGCAAGGAGAAAGAAAGAGGCUUAAAUAGUGGAGAGCUUUAGUAACCUAAUGUAAAACGCUGAGUUUUGGACAGUUCGGAUCUUCUGAUUUUUUCAAUGUAAAAAUCAAACCAAAUUGAAUAAAUUGAAAAUUAUAUAAAUUAAAACCAAACCAAAUCAAACUGAACUAUCAAAAAACCUAAUAAAAUUUCCAAAUUAAAUUUGUUCUGUCGGUUUUUUCAGUUUGAAUUGAAUUCUAUUCACCCCUAGUUCUGGUUCCCCAUCAACAAUGUGUAUAAUUUCCUUUAUAUCAGCCAGGUCCAUUGGUAGAGACAUGCACUGAAGUCCUUACAAUUGAUAUCUUUAUUUGUUCAAUUGAAGUCUGAUUUGUAGACAAUAAGAUGCUAGCUAAGCAUGACUGCCUCUAGAGUUAGUGUUGUCUUUCCAUCUCAUUCAUUGUAGGAAAGGAUAUCUAAACUGUCUUCUGCAUUGUCAACUCAUUUGGUGUUGUGAAUUAAAGGUCAUGUGGUAUAAUCUAUCCCGAAGUUUCUCAUUUCUCUGUAUUUACUAAUGUGCUUGUGCUCAUGUUUUUCUAUUAUUUGUGCAGGUUAGAGGUGUAAGACCAUUG